rnacentral:tRNA from 1 species
GUGGGUAUAGCUCAGUUGGUUAGAGCGUCAGGUUGUGGCCCUGAAGGUCACGGGUUCGAGUCCCGUUACUCACC